AGAGUUGAUCAUGGCGUCAGGAUGAACGCUAGCGACAGGCUUAACACAUGCAAGUCGAGGGCAGCAUAAAAGUAGCAAUACUUGGUGGCGACCGGCGCACGGGUGAAGUAACGCGUAUGCAACCUACCUAUCAGACGGGGAAUAACCCGGCGAAAGUCGGACUAAUACCGCAUAAAACAGGGGCACCGCAUGGUGAUAUUUGUUAAAGAAAUUCGCUGAUAGAUGGGCAUGCGUUCCAUUAGGUAGUUGGUGAGGUAACGGCUCACCAAGCCGACGAUGGAUAGGGGAACUGAGAGGUUGGUCCCCCACACUGGUACUGAGACACGGACCAGACUCCUACGGGAGGCAGCAGUGAGGAAUAUUGAUCAAUGGGCGAGAGCCUGAACCAGCCAAGUCGCGUGAAGGAAGAAGGAUCUAUGGUUCGUAAACUUCUUUUGCAGGGGAAUAAAGUGCAGGACGUGUCCUGUUUUGUAUGUACCCUGAGAAUAAGGAUCGGCUAACUCCGUGCCAGCCGCCGC
rnacentral:rRNA from 1 species